rnacentral:rRNA from 1 species
UGCCAGCCGCCGCGGUAAGACGGAGGGUGCAAGCGUUGCUCGGAAUCACUGGGCGUAAAGCGACCGCAGGCGGCUUGUCAGGUCCGAUGUGAAAUCCCGAGGCUCAACCUCGGACGUGCAUCGGAAACCGGCAGGCUUGAGUACGAGAGAGGAGGGCGGAAUUCCUGGUGUAGAGGUGAAAUUCGUAGAUAUCAGGAGGAACACCAGCGGCGAAGGCGGCUCUCUGGCUCGAUACUGACGCUCAUGGUCGAAAGCGUGGGGAGCAAACAGGAUUAGAUA